UCACAGCUCCCUUUCUAUGGAUGAGCCUGGAGUUCACAGAGGCUAAGUAAGCAGCCCAAGGUCACCCAGUAUGUUGGCAGCAGAGUCAAAUUCCACUGUCUUUCCACCAUGAAACAUAAAGGCUCCGGAGGAGGAGGUAAGAGCCAGCUCUUGUUAUUGAUGCUUCAUGGUGAAGGAGUGCAUUGAAGUCCCCAAGGAAAUUGGCUGGGAGCAGGCUCUUCAAGCUCCUGAGCCAGAGAAAGCCUGAGACAGGCAUGGGCGGAGGACACUUCACUGUGGACACUGGACCUCACUGGCCUCCAUUUUCUUCCAUUUCAUCAACUCCCCUAACUUUUCCUCCUGAGAAAGCUACAGCCUCUGGGAUAUGGAUGUCCUUCAUUUCCGGAUACCCUACACACUCUGGCUCCCCUCCUUCCUCACCCAGGGGCUGUAUUCUGGUGGAACCCGAUUCCGUUUGUGUGCACACCCCAUGUUGUGUUGGUCUGUUCCUCUGUCGUGACCUCCGGCGACUGUGAAUGAUGUGGCUAUGAACAGGAGUGUGCCAAUAUGUCUUCCAGAUCCUGCUUUCCAAUCUUCACGUUGAGUUUUUGAGGCAGAGUCUCACUGUGUAGCCCAGCCUGGCCUCAGACUCACAA